rnacentral:rRNA from 1 species
UAGGGAAUCUUCGGCAAUGGGGGGAACCCUGACCGAGCAACGCCGCGUGAGUGAAGAAGGUUUUCGGAUCGUAAAGCUCUGUUGUUAAGGAAGAACGAGUGUGAGAAUGGAAAGUUCAUACUGUGACGGUACUUAACCAGAAAGGGACGGCUAACUACGUGCCAGCAGCCGCGGUAAUACGUAGGUCCCGAGCGUUGUCCGGAUUUAUUGGGCGUAAAGCGAGCGCAGGCGGUUAGAUAAGUCUGAAGUUAAAGGCAGUGGCUCAACCAUUGUAGGCUUUGGAAACUGUUUAACUUGAGUGCAGAAGGGGAGAGUGGUAUUCCAUGUGUAGCGGUGAAAUGCGUAGAUAUAUGGAGGAACACCGGUGGCGAAAGCGGCUCUCUGGUCUGUAACUGACGCGGAGGCUCGAAAGCGUGGGGAGCGAACAGG